rnacentral:rRNA from 1 species
GACAGAGGAGGCAAGCGUUAUCCGGAAUUAUUGGGCGUAAAGCGUCCGUAGGUGGUUUGGCAAGUCUGGGGUUAAAGCCCGGAGCCUAACUCCGGAUCGGCCCUGGAAACUGCCAGACUAGAGCAAGGUAGGGGUUGCGGGAAUUCCCGGUGUAGCGGUGAAAUGCGUAGAUAUCGGGAAGAACACCAGUGGCGAAAGCGCGCAACUGUGCCAUUACUGACACUGAGGGACGAAAGCUAGGGGAGCGAACGGU